rnacentral:rRNA from 1 species
AGCGAACAGAUAAGGAGCUUGCUCCUUUGACGUUAGCGGCGGACGGGUGAGUAACACGUGGGUAACCUACCUAUAAGACUGGAAUAACUCCGGGAAACCGGGGCUAAUGCCGGAUAACAUGUUGAACCGCAUGGUUCUACAGUGAAAGACGGUCUUGCUGUCACUUAUAGAUGGACCCGCGCCGUAUUAGCUAGUUGGUGGGGUAACGGCCUACCAAGGCGACGAUACGUAGCCGACCUGAGAGGGUGAUCGGCCACACUGGAACUGAGACACGGUCCAGACUCCUACGGGAGGCAGCAGUAGGGAAUCUUCCGCAAUGGGCGAAAGCCUGACGGAGCAACGCCGCGUGAGUGAUGAAGGUCUUCGGAUCGUAAAGCUCUGUUGUUAGGGAAGAACAAAUGUGUAAGUAACUGUGCACAUCUUGACGGUACCUAACCAGAAAGCCACGGCUAACUACGUGCCAGCAGCCGCGGUAAUACGUAGGUGGCAAGCGUUAUCC